CCCGCCACUAUGCCAGUCUGUAACCGUGACUGAGUAUGAUCCAGUGGAGGCUCAGAUUGACUCAGCUUUUAGGAAACAGAUAUGCCCAAUGUAAUGGACAACUCUGUGCCGUAAAGUUUGGAACACUA